rnacentral:rRNA from 1 species
CGGCGGACGGGUGAGUAACGCGUGGGUAACCUGCCUCAUACAGGGGGAUAACAGUUGGAAACGGCUGCUAAUACCGCAUAAGCGCACAGUACCGCAUGGUACGGUGUGAAAAACUCCGGUGGUGUGAGAUGGACCCGCGUCUGAUUAGGUAGUUGGUGAGGUAACGGCCUACCAAGCCGACGAUCAGUAGCCGACCUGAGAGGGUGACCGGCCACAUUGGGACUGAGACACGGCCCAA